CACGUAGGGCGCAAGCGUUUGUCCGGAAUUAUUGGGCGUAAAGAGCUCGUAGGCGGUCUGUUGCGUCCGCUGUGAAAACUCGGGGCUUAACCCCGAGCCUGCAGUGGAUACGGGCAGACUAGAGGUAGGUAGGGGAGAAUGGAAUUCCCCGGUGUAGCGGUAGAAUGCGCAGAUACGUCGGAGGAACACCGGUGGCGAAGGCGGUUCUCUGGGGCCUUACCUGACGCUGAGGAGCGAAAGCGUGGGGAGCGAACAGG
rnacentral:rRNA from 1 species